UACAGAGGGGGCAAGCGUUGUCCGGAUUUACUGGGCGUACAGCGCGCGCAGGCGGUUGCGUAUGUGAGCGGUGACAUCCGCGGGCUCAACCCGCGGCGGCCCGCUUACACAGCGCGACUGGAGGCAGGGAGAGGGAUGUGGAAUACCCGGUGGAGCGGUGAAAUGCGUAGAGAUCGGGUGGAACACCAGCGGCGAAAGCGGCAUCCUGGCCCUGUACUGACGCUGAGGCGCGAUAGCGUGGGGAGCAAACGGG
rnacentral:rRNA from 1 species